rnacentral:rRNA from 1 species
GAUGAACGCUGGCGGCGUGCUUAACACAUGCAAGUCGAACGAUGAAGCCCAGCUUGCUGGGUGGAUUAGUGGCGAACGGGUGAGUAACACGUGAGUAACCUGCCCUUAACUCUGGGAUAAGCCUGGGAAACUGGGUCUAAUACCGGAUAGGAGCGUCCACCGCAUGGUGGGUGUUGGAAAGAUUUAUCGGUUUUGGAUGGUCUCGCGGCCUAUCAGCUUGUUGGUGAGGUAAUGGCUCACCAAGGCGACGACGGGUAGCCGGCCUGAGAGGGUGACCGGCCACACUGGGACUGAGACACGGCCCAGACUCCUACGGGAGGCAGCAGUGGGGAAUAUUGCACAAUGGGCGAAAGCCUGAUGCAGCGACGCCGCGUGAGGGAUGACGGCCUUCGGGUUGUAAACCUCUUUCAGUAGGGAAGAAGCGAAAGUGACGGUACCUGCAGAAGAAGCACCGGCUAACUACGUG